rfam:Bathycoccus prasinos genomic : Mitochondrion.
AAUGAGAUAGUUCAGUUUGGUAGAACCUCGGACUCAUAAAUCGAUGGUCGGGGGUUCGAAUCCCCCUCUCAUUA